AGUACUACACAGCUGUUUCAAAUAAUCAAAGCUUGAUGAUGAGUCCUAUGUGCAUUUCUGUGCACACAACAUCGAAUUCAUUCUAAUGGAUUCUGCAUGUUCCUUGAAUAGCGCAAAAGAGUUUUGGGGUACACUGCUUUUUGAUUUCUAGCCUCACAAGGAUUCAAAUAUUUGAGGAGGAACAGGAAAACAUGCAGCUGGAGAGAGCCGUUCUCGUGCUGAAAAGCCUAUCAGACAAAAUAAUUUGAGAGAUGCCGUGGAUCUAAUUGAUUUAAUUGACAUCUGGCUGAGAUCUGACGGAUGCGCCCUAUGACAAGAUGGAGAACAGUGCGAAAUCGAUGCCCCAACAAAACAAUGCAACAACUGAAUUUGCAGAGGAGAGCGCGCGCAAGAGGGAAAGGUUUCAUGACGAGGGAACAGAGGACGAGUCAAUUCAGGAAAGCAGAAGACACUUAAGCUUUUUCCCAAUGUCUCCCCUCUCCCUCCCUUUCCUCCUCCCUCUCCUUCUAGGUUUGCCAGUGAUGGGGCAGUCAUUUGCUUUGGGGUGUUCAUGCGGACCCAGGAAGGGGGCGUGCAUCAGAAGGUGGGGGAUAUGCUGCAGGUGCUGCCUAGUGAACGCUACAACGCACACAUGGUCCCAGAGGACCGCUCCCUCACCUGCCCCGAGCCUGGAACCUACAUGCUGCAUUUUGACAACACCUACAGCUUACUGCAGUUUAAAAACAUCAGCUACACUGUGGAUGUUGUACUGCCAGACGGACAUGUCCAGAGUCCUAGGAGUAACAGAGGGGAUGAACGGCUGGAGUAACACACACACACACACACACACACACACACACACACACACACACACACACACACACACACACACGAAUAUGAGAUCUGGAUAGUGAAGAUAGCAAUGUACAGUAUACAGUGCUGUUUAAACACCACUGUUCUCAGUUAUGUGCAUUGAUAUGACAAGUAACCCACAGUUAUAACUUUUCUGAUUUUCUGUUGACACAAAUAAUCAUUCGUAUAAGCAUUUCAUACAAGAGUCAGAAUUGAUUUGAGUUAGGACUAUAUGGCUUUGUUUUAUUGGAGCCUAUUGUGUGAAUGUAAUAUCAUUUAUUUUCACCGAAAAGUACUUUCCAGUGUCUGUAGUGACUUCUGUGUAUUUUAGGCUUCAUUAGACCAAUGUAAAAAUACAAAUUGUACAAAUAGGCAUAUAAAGGAAUGAUUAUGAAGUGGGAGAUAAAUAUCCUCGCUAUCGUUUUGUGUUUUCACUGUUGAUAACUCUCUUUAACUGUUUAAUUAACAUUUUCAUUGAUGGCAGCUGAUGGACAGGCUCGAUAUCUUCAUAGGUUGUUUAAGCAUGAAUAAAGAUUAUUCUUACCUAA